rnacentral:misc_RNA from 1 species
AGGUCGUAACAAGGUUUCCGUAGGUGAACCUGCGGAAGGAUCAUUACCUAGAGUUGUAGGCUUUGCCUGCUAUCUCUUACCCAUGUCUUUUGAGUACCUUCGUUCCUCGGCGGGUCGGUCCCGCCGAUUGGACAAUUUGAAACCAUUUGACAGUUGCAAUCAGCGUCUGAAAAACAAUAAUAGUUACAA